CCUGGCUCCAGCCCUCCCCACCCUCGUUUAAGGGCUGCCUGUCUAAGGGGAAGAAUCUCUACUGGGAGAUCUGCUCUGUGCUCAUACUUUCUGAGUCCUGUUCUUCAGAAAGGGCUCUUUGUUUACUAGCUUGAGUCCUUCCCCACUCAUAGGAAAAUUAAAACACAAGAAAGCCGCUGGAUCAGCUACUGCCUUUCACUACAGUUACCAUUUCAGAUUAUGGAUCAAGGUUGAACUGUACAGAGGGAGUGCAGCCACAAGGCUCUGGCUGUGCCAAGCCUCCCACAUGCCCGGGCCCCAAAGCAGCCCCAACUGUGCCUGGUCCUCCUCCAUCCUGGGCCCCAAAGCAGCCCCAACUGUGCCUGGUCCUCCUCCAUCCUGGGACCACAGGCAGCCCCAACUGUGCCAGGUCCUCCUCCAUCCUAGGCCCCAAGGCACAGGCUGUGCCUGGGCUCCCUUUCGUCUGGGCCCAGACAAGGCCUCAACUGUGCCUGCUCCAGCCCGGGCCCCAAAUCUGCCCCAUCUGUGCCAGGCCCCACUCCAGCCCAGGCCCAAAAGCAGCCCCAACUGUGCCUGGUCCUCCUCCAUCCUGGGCCCCAAAGCAGCCCCAACUGUGCCUGGCCCCCCUCCAUCCUGGGCCCCAAAGCAGCCCCAACUGUGCCUGGUCCUCCUCCAUCCUAGGCCCCAAAGCCUGGGCUGUGCCGGGGCUCCCUCUGGUCUGGGCCCAGAGGAGGCCUCAACUGUGCUAGGCCCCGCUCCAGCUCGGGCCCCCCCAGUGCAGCCCCAACUGCACUGGUCCUCCUCCAUCCUGGGCCCCAACACAGCCCCAACUGAGCCUGCUUCUCCUCCAUCCUGGGCCCCCCCAGUGCAGCCCCAACUGCACCUGGUCCUCC
ensembl:lncRNA